ensembl:antisense
AGGUUGAUGCCACUCGAGGUCAACACUGUCACAGGCUGCCGCUGAGCAUGCAGAAGCUUUCAGAAGUCUGCCAGGAAUCAUCUCUCAAGGGUUUCUCAGAAGAGAAGUUACCUAAAGUCGCGAAACCCAGGUGUCCCCAGCACUUACCCUCGAUGGCCCCUACUCCUCGGGGACUCAGGAAGCUCUUUAUGGUUAGGAGUACCGGGACCAGCUCCACAAAGAGGACCAUUGCCGGGUUACUCAUAGGGGUUCCUGGGUGCAGGGGCUAUGGCUGCCAUGCGGAGUCCUUAGGAUGAGCACACUGCCAACCACGAUGCCCACCAAGCCCACCACCAGGCCCAGGGCACAGACCGCAGUCUCCAUUGUCUCAGAUACUUGGACUGGCUCCUGCAUUUCUGAGGGAAAUGAAUAGAUGCAGCUCAGAAUUUUUGACACCUCUGGAUCCAGAGAGAGCCGGAAGACUCCUUCUACUGAGCAGCCUCAGUAGAGCUCAACCUCUCUUGGGUGAGAAGAGGAGACACCAGCUCCCGACUAUACAGCAGGGAGCCCAGGGCCGCUCCAAGGAGGGUCCCUCAGCAGAGUGCAUCUGUCGCCCAUUCUGAGUGUGGACCAGGGGUCCUCCUAUCGUUGUAUCUCUGGAUCAAGGCUCGCAGAUUGUUCUUCAGGCUGACAAUGUAGGGCAAAGCUUCCUGGGCGUCAAAUGCAUACACCUUGCUGAACCCCGGCAGGUCCCAGACCUUCUCCUCCCUGUCAAGAUCCACAUAGAACUGCUCAUCGCCAUCAAACGUGUACAUGCAUUCACUGGAUGCAUGUUGUGUCUGUACAAAUAUGUUAUACACUGCUAUGUGUUCCGCUAUAGAAGCAAGAUAAAGGAAAAUGAGACCAAUGUAAGAACUAUUGUUUAAGAGGCAAGGUAGGGGGAUGGCUGGAUUUAUUAAUAAAGUCAGAAAAGGCCAAAAACAGGGGAAUAGGGAGGAGAAACACAGACAGGAGCAGUGUGGGGUGUUGGGGAGGGGGGUAUAGAAUCUUCAGUCCAUCUGCCCCUGCCCACUUCCAGGUGGAACCCCAUGGAUCUGCAGGUAUCUGGGGGUGGGGGGGGACGAACACAAGCCUCUGUUGAGCACUUGCUGGGCGCCAAGUCUGUUGAGAGACUACAUAUUUCAUGCAUGUUAAUGCUACAACAACCCUAGAUGCAACCAAGGAAACACAGAGAAGGUCGGCGACUUGCCUCAGGUCACACAGCAAUGCACAGCUGGGAGAGACUUUCCCCUCCCCACAGCUCCCGGUUCUAGGUCUGCAGAUGUGAAAUUAGGUUUAAACUCGUGGAGGUGGCGGGGCGGGCAUGCUAGUGUCCUUAUUACAGAAAAGGUGGGAAGCUCGCUGCAUUGCAAUGAUACACUUGCUGAGUUUCUAAUAAGUUCAUAAAUUUGCACCUACAGCAUGUGCUAAUUCUGUGACUCUUUUUUUUUAAUCUUAAGCAUAUUAAAUCUAACAGGAUGGAUUUUGACAAUGUUUUCAAUUUUUUUUUUAAAUUUAAGUUGAUUUAAAGACUUUU